GAGGGUAUAGCUCAGUGGUAGAGCACAUGCCUAGCAUGCACGAGGUCCUGGGUUCCACCCCCUGUACCUCUA
rnacentral:tRNA from 1 species